CCUCGCUUUGCCUUCACGUUCAGAACGCUCGAGUCACUUGAAAAAGACCCGAGAAGAGCUCGUUUCAUAGUUUAGAGCUCAAUUAGGUCCCUGUCACAAAAAGACUUUAUUAUAAAGUAGUGAGCUGUAGAGCAGGACACCAUUUCAAACGUCGAACAGCGGUCUCUGGUUUUGAGAGGUUACACCUUCCCGCGCCUCGUCCGUCCCAACGCCGCAAUUGGUGGCGCGGAGCUGUUUUUCCCGCUGGGAUUAAGGAUGAGAUGAGGUGAAGGACUGGAGAGCAGGGAAGAAACGGCCAAGUAAGGACGGAACACCCACACCGAGCUGGCGUCUAAACCUUCUGGAAACAGGGACUGGGGAAUUCAAAAAGAGAGCCGCUGUCUCUGGGUAUCUAUCCGAGCGCGUUCGGCGCACACGGAUUGUUUUCUCUCAGUUGGAUGGUGUGCCAGUAGGUGCACGCGCAGCAUCGCUCACUCGUUCGACGGGAUACAGGUCUUUGGGUUCAGGAUGAAGGCGUGGUGGCCACUGGUCUUCCUGGCACUGAUGCCAUUUCCCAGCCCUGUAAAAGGGCAAAUUCCAGGUCCACGAAGAAUACGGUUUAAAGUCCUGGGGCCAGGCAAGUUACAAGUCUCAUGGAAAGAGCCAAAGGGGGAAUAUGAUGGCUAUAGGUUCAUUUACAACAGUGCGCCAGGUGGCGAGAGGAAUGAGCUUCGCAUGGCGAAGGGAGAGAAUAAGGCGAUAAUACAUGACUUCAAUCCCACGAAGGAGUACACAGUCAAGGUUAUGACUGUGAGGGGAAGCCAGCAAAGUAGAGCACUUCACGCGAAAUACGUAGCUAAGGACAGCCAGCUGAAUGGCGAGAGCACUCAGCUGCAGAGACUGAAAGACACCCUGCCUACACAAGACCCCACAGAGAUAUCAGGAGACCAGUUCUUGUGUUCGACUCCAGCGAUCGCAGACAUCGUCAUCCUGGUAGACGGCUCGUGGAGCAUCGGCAGGCUCAACUUCCGCCUGGUGCGAACGUUCCUGGAAAACCUGGUCAAUGCCUUUGAUGUGGGAAUCGACAGAAUCCGUAUAGGACUGGCCCAGUAUAGUGGAGAUCCCAGGAUUGAGUGGCACCUCAAUGCCUUCACCACCAAAGAUGCUGUGAUCGAUGCCAUAAAAAACCUGCCGUACAAAGGAGGGAACACACUCACAGGUCUGGCCCUUACGUACAUUCUGAAGAACAGCUUCAAACCGGAGUCUGGCUCUCGGAACAACGUUCCCAAAAUUGGAAUCCUGAUUACGGAUGGCAAAUCCCAGGAUGCGGUUGACCUUGCUGCCCAGACCUUAAAGGAUGCUGGCGUCGAGCUCUUUUCCAUUGGGGUGAAGAAUGCCGAUGAAAAUGAGCUAAAGGCCAUUGCCUCUGAGCCAGACGAAACUCACGUCUACAAUGUGGCUGACUUCAGCAUUAUGAGCACUAUUGUGGAGGGCCUGACUAGGACUGUGUGUGAUGGUGUAGAGCAACAAGACAAGGAGAUCAGGAAUUCUGUCCCUGAAGAAACAGUAGGCUCUCCUCAGGACCUGGUGACGUCUGAACUGACAGCGCACAGUUUCCGGGUAUCCUGGAGCCCCGCACCAGGCAGUGUGGAGAAGUACCGUGUGAUGUACAAGCCUUCCAAAGAAGGCCCGGUAGACAAGGUUGUGCUGGAUGGCACUGAAACCUCAACCGUGCUAAAGAACCUUUACUCGCUGACCGAGUAUGAGAUUACAGUGUUUGCUGUGUACACAGCCUCGGUCAGUAAGCCUCUCAGGGGCAGCGAGACCACACUGGCCUACCCUACAGUCAGUGAUCUGACACUGUAUGAUGAGACUGACAACACCUUGCGGGUACGAUGGGGGUCUACAGAAGGGGCUUCUGGGUACAUGGUCCUGUACGAACCUCUAAGUGGCAUAUCUGCUGAUGCAACAGAGAUAAAAGUCGCAGACAAAGUGACAGACCUGGAGCUGACCGAUUUGAGCCCGGACACAAAGUACUCAGUUACCGUCUACGCCCUGUUCGGGGAGGAGGCCAGCAACCCUUCUACCACCCAGGGCAACACCUUGCCUGUGAAGCCUCCUCGUAACCUGCGUGUCACUGAGGUGGACCACAGCUCUGUCCGUCUCAGCUGGGACGCGCCGUCAAACCAGGUCGUCGGCUAUCGCACCGAGUACUUCAAAGCCGACACCGGCCUGGCCAACGAGGUCAAGAUGGGCCCAGCGACACACAUGGUCCUGAAGAAUCUGGCACCGCAGACAGAGUACUCAGUGGCUGUCUUAGCUGUCUAUAAAAACGCCCAGUCAAAGCCUCUGUUUGGAAGCUUCACCACAAAACGAGUGCCAGCUCCGCUGGACCUGAGGAUCGGUGAGGUGACAGCGGAGAGUUUCCGGGUGAGCUGGACGCGGCCUGCCGAUGAUGUGGUUCUCUACAAACUGGCCUGGACCACCCGCAGUGACAGAGACAUUAGAGAGAUGGCCGUGGGAGGCGACGCCGACUCGUACGUGGUGAACAGUCUCUCCCCUCUCACGGAGUAUGAAGUGCUGCUGUCUGCCGUCUACAGGGAUCAGGCUGAGAGCAGCCCCGCGAAAGCGUUACAGACCACAUUGGCUACGACGUCUACGACGGCCAUCCCCUUCACAACCCCGGCAGUGGCCCGGCUGGGAGUGACUAACCUGCGGGUGGAUGAUGAGACCACGAGCAGCCUGCAGGUGAGCUGGGAGCCUCAGGACUUCGAUGUGGAGCAGUACAGAGUGACCUGUGUUAGCCUGGGAGGAGAUCGAACAGAGAUGUUGGUGCUGGUCCCGGCUAACGAGAAGAGCGUGCUGUUGCAGCCUCUCCUCUCAGACACAGAGUACAAGAUCACGGUGACCCCUGUGUACCCAGAAGGCGAAGACAGUGCACUUGCUGUGUCCUCCACAGGAGGGACAUUGCCUCUGUCUGCCCCCACGAACCUUCGGGUAUCUGACGAGUGGUACGACCGCUUCCGCCUUACCUGGGAACACCCGGCCUUCCCACCCAUGGGCUACAGGGUCAUCUACCAACCCGCUUCAGAAGCAGGCCGGACUCUGGAGAUGUUGGUAGGGGGAGACGUCAACACGCUGCUGAUUCUGAACCUGCUCACUAGCAUGGAGUACAGCGUCAAGGUCAUGGCCUCGUACAGCACUGGCUCCAGUGAACCUCUCACCGGCACAGCCAAGACCUGGUUUCUGGGAGUGAGUCAGCUCAGGACAUACCAGGUGCAGAGCAACAGCAUGUGUGCGGAGUGGCAGCAACACCUCCACGCCUCCGACUUCAGGGUCACCAUCGAGUCACUUCUGAACGGCCAGCGGCAGGAGGUGUUGUUGAGCGGUGGAUCCAGCAUGUGGUGUUUCUUCGACCUGUCGCCCAACACUCAGUACAAGAUCAGCAUCCACGCACAGCUGCAGAGCACAGAGGGUCCUGCCGUCACCGUCAUGGAUACCACACUUCCAGCUCCAACCCAGCUUCCCACCACCGCACGACCAUCCACUGUUCCCCCGGCCAAAGAAGUGUGCAAAGCCGCCAAGGCGGACCUGGUGUUCUUAGUGGAUGGCUCCUGGAGUAUAGGAGAUGACAACUUCCAGAAGAUUAUCCACUUCCUGUACAGCACGACAGGUGCCCUGGACGUGAUCGGCCCUGAAGGAACCCAGGUGGCCAUCGUUCAGUUCAGCGACGACGCCAGGACCGAGUUCAAGCUCAGCUCCUACAGCGACAAGGAGUCUCUCCUGGAUGCCGUGAAACGCAUCACCUAUAAGGGCGGAAAUACCAAGACAGGCCGAGCCAUCAAGCACGUGAAGGAAAGCAUCUUCACGGAGGACGACGGCGUGAGGCGGGGCAUCCCCAAAGUGCUGGUGGUGCUCACGGAUGGCCGUUCACAGGACGACGUCAACAAGAUCUCCGAGUUGAUGCAGGUGGAGGGUUACAUCAUCUUUGCCAUCGGCUUUGCCGAUGCCGAUUACGGGGAGCUGGUGAACAUUGCCAGCAAGCCCAGUGAAAGACACGUCUUCUUCGUGGACGACCUGGACGCUGUAAAGAAGAUCGAGGAGCAGCUCAUAACGUUUGUGUGUGAGGCGGCGACAGCCACCUGUCCCUCGGUGUUGAUGAGCGGGAGCCCUUUGGCAGGCUUCCGAAUGAUGGAGAUGUUCGGACUGGUGGAGAAGCACUACAGCAGUGUGCAGGGUGUUUCCAUGGAGCCUGGAACGUUCAACAGCUUCCCCUGCUACAGGCUACACAAGGAUGCUUUGGUCUCACAGCCUACGAAAUAUCUGCACCCUGAGGGCCUGCCCUCUGACUACACCAUCACAGUGCUGUUCCGCAUCCUGCCUGAAACUCCACCGGAGCCCUUUGCAUUGUGGGAAAUUCUCAGUAAAGACAGGGAUCCACUGGUGGGCGUCAUCCUGGACAAUGGCGGAAAAACCUUGACCUUCUUCAACUACGACUACCAGGGCAGUUUCCAAACAGUGACUUUCGAAGGUCCUGAAAUCAGAAAGAUCUUCUAUGGCAGUUUCCACAAGCUUCACGUGGCCAUCAGCAAGACCUCGGCCAAGGUGGUGCUCGACUGCCAGGAGGUGGCCGAGAAGCCCAUCAGUGCAGCGGGGAACAUCAGCACAGACGGCCUGGAGGUGCUGGGCCGAACGGUGCGCUCGCGCGGGACCAGGGACAACUCGGCACCGUUCCAGCUUCAGAUGUUUGAUAUUGUCUGCAGCACAUCGUGGACCAGCAGAGACAAAUGCUGUGAGCUCCCGGGCCUGAGAGUUGAGCAAGACUGUCCUGCUCUGCCUCAUGCAUGCACCUGUUCCCAGGACAGCAAAGGACCACCAGGACCAUCUGGACCACCUGGUGGUCCAGGUAUAAGAGGUUUGAGAGGUGACCGGGGGGAACCAGGCUCAGUGGGGCCUCAGGGGCCAUCUGGUGAGAUUGGACCACCAGGACCACAGGGACCCCCCGGUCCACAGGGGCCAAGUGGGCUUUCCAUCCAGGGACCACCAGGAGCUCCAGGACAGAAAGGAGAGAAAGGUGACUCAGGUCUGCCGGGUCCUCAGGGUGUACCAGGGGCCAACGGAGGACCAGGCAGAGAUGGCCAACCAGGACAGAGGGUAAAAGAUGGUCACUUUAUUUCACCUAAAUGGUUCGCUUGUUUUAUAAUCCUAUAUGUUAAAAAGGUAGCUGAUCUUCUAUGUCCUUUAUUUGCAUCAUUAUUAUGUUGUAGUUUUAUAUUAAAUAGCACAUUUAUUGUUCUCCCUCUUGUUAACCUUUGCUUUUCGUAAACAUCUUGAAAUUUCCCAAGCAGUCUCAAACUAUUCAGGUCCUCUACACAGUGAAUGGUAAUGGCGCAUCCUACGAGACUAGUCUAAUGGUGAUGGUAUGCUCCAAAUGGAAUUGGCAGGUUCUCCUGUUCAUUAAUAGACUACAGAGUGAGAAGUCCCAUCUGGCUGCUGUUCUUACUGCGCAUCUCCAAACAGCUGUGACAGACUCCAUCAUUAGAAGUGUGUUUCACCAUCAUUGGAAGUGUCUUUCAUUGUCAUUAGAAGUGGUGUUCACCAUCAUUAGAAGUGUAGUUCACCAUUAGAAGUGUUUUGUGUCCAUUGUGAAGUCAGUGCAAAAUCUUCAUGGCUGGGUCAGCAGUCAGUAGCACGAUCGCUAUUACAUGAAUAUGUCACGAUUCACAGCAGAUCCAGUAUUUCAUUCAUUUACCGUUACAAUAAUUGGCCUAAUGAUAUGCUCAGUUAAAACAACAACAACAGCAAAAAAAAAUGUACCGCAUUCCUCAGAAGUACUUCUAUUCUGUUCCUCAGCUCAGGGUGACUCGAGAUGGAAUGUAUAACAUCAGUGUUGAUUCACCCUGAAGUUGACCGUGUGCUUAGAGAAUGAGCUGUACUGAAUGGUUAACUCAGUAAAAAGGAUUGCUUGUAGCAAAGCAGACAGGACAUAUGUGGCCAUCCCAAAGUAGUUAAACUAAAAUGUACUUUUAAAGUUACCUUUAGCAACAAAUAAAUAAGCAAACUAAACAAAGCAGUAACCAGGGAAAAUAUGGUUCCAUCAAGUUGUCAGUUUUUAUCUACAAAUAAAACCCCAGAUCCACAGAGGUCUAAACUUGGACCUGCUACAAGGUACAUGAUAAGAAUCUGCAGUGUCUUCUCAAGUACCUUGUAGCAGGUCCAAAUUUAAAUCUGUUGUGGAUACAUAUAAAAUAUAAGUCUAAAUAUGAAUAAAAUAUAAAGUCCAAUCCAUAAAAAGUUCUGAUAUGACAUUAAUCAGUGAGAUGCCAGAUUUGUAACUAGCACAUUUUGAAAUGCAGGAGAAGUUACUGAAUGCAUGAGUUCUGUCAUAACACAAAACACUGCCAGAAUCCAAAAUUAUUAUUGUUGUGUCUUGGCAUAACAGCAUUAAAGCAACUAACACCAUUUAGAAAGCUUCUGACAGAGUAGAGUUAAAGAGCAACAUAUUAGUUCAUGACUCCACACUGACAGCAUCAGCAGAUAGAUAGAUAGAUAGAGAGAGAGCGAGAGAGAGGAUCUUGCUUUUAUCUACGUGGAGAAGAAAGGCUAAUCAAUGCAGGUUUUCAGUGGUUUUGUACACUCUAGGUUUUUUUUUAAUUUUAUUUACUUUAUUUGGUUGAUGCAAAUCACUCUACAUUCAAGAAGCCUUCAAACAUUUGCAGUUUUCACGCAAACUGGAGUAUAGUGUAUGGAAGCGUUUCAUGUGAUGUUUUGUGCAGUGAAGUUCAUUUAUUAAAGAUCAGUUUUUAACGAGCACAAGCCUGAUAGAAAUGAAAUACAGAAUGCAUGAAAUUAAAGCGCUCUGACACAGAAUCCAUUUUGCUUUUCGCACCCUAAUGAAUUCAGGAUAUUAAGAGCUGGAUAAUAGAUGGGUUGGAACUGGUUACACAGCUGCACUCUUAUUCUGAGAUGCCUGAAAUAUACAGUAAGCCUUAACUAGUUUUUUGACAAAUCCAACAUUUAUCUCUGUGGAGUGUCUCUCCUCCUCUACCAGACUUUAAAUCACUCCUAAAUCAGUUGUACUUCUAAAUGUCCACCAUCUCGAGUUCAUUCUACCAUAUUACAGUCACUGUAGUGUGGAGGGCCACCUGUUCCAGUGUUAUUUCCCCCCUAUGAAUGUAUAUCAGGGUUUUUUCACAGUAGGAUUGAUAGCUAAGACCUGCUGAGUUACUCCAGAGGAGAUGCAGGCAGCCAGUACUAAGAGUUUAGCCAGACCAAUACAUAUGCUGAAGCCAACAUAACACACACAUGCGUGCACACACACACACACACCCACACCCACACCCACACACACUGCCCCAGCACAUUCAGCGGGAGUAGAUUGUCACCCCAGCGGCAUGCCUGACUGCUCUACCACCUGACUGCUCUACCACCUGACUGCUCUACCACCGACGGCUCUACAGGAGCAUUCACAUGGGCACAACCAGGGUCUGCCUGGUAAAGAUGGACCACAGGGGCAACGGG